CCUACGGGAGGCAGCAGUAGGGAAUAUUGGGCAAUGGAGGCAACUCUGACCCAGCCAUGCCGCGUGCAGGAAGAAGGCGUUAUGCGUUGUAAACUGCUUUUAUAUAGGAAGAAAUAGACCUUGCGAGGUAAGUUGACGGUACUAUAUGAAUAAGCACCGGCUAACUCCGUGCCAGCAGCCGCGGUAAUACGGAGGGCGCAAGCGUUGUCCGGAUUUAUUGGGUUUAAAGGGUGCGUAGGCGGUUUAUUAAGUCAGUGGUGAAAGACGGUCGCUCAACGAUUGCAGUGCCAUUGAUACUGGUAGACUUGAGUGGGAUUGAGGUAGCUGGAAUGGAUAGUGUAGCGGUGAAAUGCAUAGAUAUUAUCCAGAACACCAAUUGCGUAGGCAAGUUACUAAGUCUCAACUGACGCUGAGGCACGAAAGUGUGGGUAUCAAACAGGAUUAGAUACCCUGGUAGUCCACACUGUAAACGAUGAUAACUAACUGUUGGCUUCCGAGUCAGUGGUACAGAGAAAUACGUUAAGUUAAUUCCACCUGGGAGGUAAGUCCGGCGAACGGUUGAAACGUUACAAAUAAGAGUUAGUUAGCGNGAGAGAGCGACGACGACACAGGAGGAGGAG
rnacentral:rRNA from 1 species